AAGAAUUUCCAACCAAUCACUAAAAAUACGCCACUCUUCCGACCCAAACUCAAAAUAGGAAAGGCUGGCCAAAACAUAAUUCCUCUAAUUAUUUGCCAUAAGGCCCAAAACUUAAAGCAAAACUCUAGUCCAUUUAAGUAUUUCCUUUGACUAAAACUUAACAGCAUCAAAAUUUAAAAACAAGAAAUAAAAAGGUCUUCUCUUUCAUUUAUUCCAUCAGUACACACUCUCUCUCAAUCUUAAAAUCCAAAUUAAAAUCCCAAAACAGAAACUCCAAUCUUCUUCCUCCCUCUCUCACGCACCGGCGAUUCUCCAUGGCGCCACCGUCAUUGUCCCCUUCGCCAGAUACACUGCAGUUUCAGCGCCGACUCAACCGCCUCAACUUGCUGUCGUCGCCGCGUAAGCUCCAGGCGCCGCCGUCGCGACUCACCGCGAGUCGACGAUGCUCCUCCCUUUGCGACUGAGCACGAUGAUUCAGAAUUAUCCUAAAUGAAUACAAGGAAUUCAAUGUUAGGAAUUGAUCGGUGAUUACCUUCUUAGGCGGCAGAAAACUCUCUUCUCCAACUCGGUUCUUUCUCUAUAUUUUUUUCAAGGUUUCUGAAGGUGAGAGAUGUGUGGGGGUGUAUAUAUAUAGAUAUACACAGGUGAAAUUGUUAUUGAAUGCCUCCUAAUUCUCAGGGAAGAGAUUUGAAUGGAAGAUUUGAGUAGAUUUGAGCA